rnacentral:rRNA from 1 species
GAAUGUCACCAAAAUACUUUGCAGGCAUUAAAUCCUGAUUGAUCUCUGGUGCUAAUCAAGGCUAGGCCUGGUUUGUACUCAGAUGGGAAACCACCAAUGAAUUCUGGAUGUUGUAGGCG